CGGGUGAGUAAUGUGUAGAGAAUCUGCCCUUUAGUGGGGGACAACAGUUGGAAACGACUGCUAAUACCCCAUAUGCGCGUAACUUGAGAUAGUAUUCGUGAAAACUCCGGUGCUAAAGGAUGAGUCUGCAUCUGAUUAGCUAGUUGGCGGUGUAAUGGACCACCAAGGCGACGAUCCAGUAGCUGGUUUGAGAGGAUGAUCAGCCACAAUGGGACUGAGACACGGCCCAUACUCCUACGGGAGGCAGCAGUAGGGAAUUUUGCGCAAUGGGGGAAACCCUGACGCCAGCAACGCCGCGUGAUUGAAUAAGCCCUUCGGGGUGUAAAGAUCUGUCAGUAGGGACGAAACUUGACGGUACCUACAGAGGAAGCAUCGGCUAACUCCGUGCCAGCCGCAGC
rnacentral:rRNA from 1 species